rnacentral:tRNA from 1 species
AGGGGUGUAGCUCAGUUUGGCAGAGCAGCGGUCUCCAAAACCGCAGGUCGGGGGUUCGAGUCCCUCCACCCCUG